ensembl:snRNA U6 U6 spliceosomal RNA
GUGCUAACACUGGUAGCACAUAUACUAAAACUGGAAUGGUACAGAAGAGAUUGGUGUGGCCCCCAGGCAAGGAUGACAUGCAAAUUCACGAAGUGGGGUGCCUGGGU